rnacentral:rRNA from 1 species
GACAGAGGGUGCAAACGUUGCUCGGAAUCACUGGGCGUAAAGGGCGUGUAGGCGGGCAGGUAAGUCGGGCGUGAAAUCCCUGAGCUCAACUCAGAAACUGCACUCGAAACUACUUGUCUUGAGUACCGGAGAGGAAAGCGGAAUACCUGGUGUAGAGGUGGAAUUCGUAGAUAUCAGGUGGAACACCAGUGGCGAAGGCGGCUUUCUGGACGGUAACUGACGCUGAGACGCGAAAGCGUGGGGAGCAAACAGG